ACCUCUAGCAUAGUAAGUAUUAGAGGCAUUGCCUGCCCAGUGACUAAAGUUAAACGGCCGCGGUAUCCUGACCGUGCAAAGGUAGCAUAAUCACUUGUUCCUUAAUUAGGGACUAGAAUGAAUGGCUAAACGAGGGUUCAACUGUCUCUUACUUUCAAUCAGUGAAAUUGACCUUCCAGUGAAGAGGCUGGAAUACCCCAAUAAGACGAGAAGACCCUAUGGAGCUUUAAUUUACUAGUUUAGUUUAACCAAAAAUCAACCUAAUGGCUUAAAAACAAAAAAAUAUAAACUAAAAAAUUUCGGUUGGGGUGACCUCGGAGAAUAAAAGAACCUCCGAAUGAUUGUAACCUAGACUAACAAGUCAAAGUAACAUAAGUAUCUUAUUGACCCAAUUAUUGAUCAACGGACCAAGUUACCCUAGGGAUAACAGCGCAAUCCUAUUUAAGAGUUCAUAUCGACAAUUAGGGUUUACGACCUCGAUGUUGGAUCAGGACAUCCCAAUGGUGCAGAAGCUAUUAAUGGUUCGUUUGUUCAACGAUUAAAGUCCUA
rnacentral:rRNA from 1 species